UAGGGAAUCUUCCGCAAUGGACGCAAGUCUGACGGAGCAACGCCGCGUGAGCGAUGAAGGUCUUCGGAUCGUAAAGCUCUGUUGUGAGGGAAGAACGGGUAUAGGAGUAACUGUCUAUACAUUGACGGUACCUCACCAGAAAGCCCCGGCUAACUACGUGCCAGCAGCCGCGGUAAUACGUAGGGGGCAAGCGUUGUCCGGAAUUAUUGGGCGUAAAGCGCGCGCAGGCGGUUCUUUAAGUCUGAUGUGAAAGCCCUCGGCUUAACCGAGGAGGGUCAUUGGAAACUGGAGGACUUGAGUGCAGGAGAGGAGAGUGGAAUUCCACGUGUAGCGGUGAAAUGCGUAGAGAUGUGGAGGAACACCAGUGGCGAAGGCGGCUCUCUGGCCUGUAACUGACGCUGAGGCGCGAAAGCGUGGGGAGCAAACAGG
rnacentral:rRNA from 1 species